AGUAAGUGCUUUAGAGUUGAACUUUGAUGCGGCUUUUUCAGAUUCUGUCCAUCUCUCCUUCGGUUUGGGAGCAUAUGUUUUAUCUUCCAUGAGCAUAGUAGGUGCCGACCAGCCUAUUUCAACAGCAGUCCAAGCGUCUUCAUCUAUUCCGCGAAUGAUAUGUCUCAUACGUGCUUUCCAAUGGACAAAACUCCCUUCAUCCAGCAUGUAGAGACUCGGUAGGGUGAUGAAUUCUUUCAUGGUUUCAAGACUUCUUCCGCAGGACCUCA
rnacentral:lncRNA from 1 species